rnacentral:rRNA from 1 species
UACGAAGGGGGCUAGCGUUGCUCGGAAUCACUGGGCGUAAAGCGCACGUAGGCGGAUCUUUAAGUCAGAGGUGAAAUCCCAAGGCUCAACCUUGGAACUGCCUUUGAUACUGGGGAUCUCGAGUCCGGAAGAGGUGAGUGGAACUGCGAGUGUAGAGGUGAAAUUCGUAGAUAUUCGCAAGGACACCAGUGGCGAAGGCGGCUCACUGGUCCGGUACUGACGCUGAGGUGCGAAAGCGUGGGGAGCAAACAGG